rnacentral:rRNA from 1 species
GAUGAAUGCUGGCGGCGUGCCUAAUACAUGCAAGUCGAGCGAACGGACGAGAAGCUUGCUUCUCUGAUGUUAGCGGCGGACGGGUGAGUAACACGUGGAUAACCUACCUAUAAGACUGGGAUAACUUCGGGAAACCGGAGCUAAUACCGGAUAAUCUUUUGAACCGCAUGGUUCAAAAGUGAAAGACGGUCUUGCUGUCACUUAUAGAUGGAUCCGCGCUGCAUUAGCUAGUUGGUAAGGUAACGGCUUACCAAGGCAACGAUGCAUAGCCGACCUGAGAGGGUGAUCGGCCACACUGGAACUGAGACACGGUCCAGACUCCUACGGGAGGCAGCAGUAGGGAAUCUUCCGCAAUGGGCGAAAGCCUGACGGAGCAACGCCGCGUGAGUGAUGAAGGUCUUCGGAUCGUAAAACUCUGUUAUUAGGGAAGAACAUAUGUGUAAGUAACUGUGCACAUCUUGACGGUACCUAAUCAGAAAGCCACGGCUAACUACGUG